GCCAAGAUGGCUCAGAUGGCAGAGCAGCGCACUCGUAAUGCGCAGGUCCCGGGUUCGAUUCCCGGUCUUGGCU
rnacentral:tRNA from 1 species